CAGUAGCCGCGGUAAUACGUAGGGUGCAAGCGUUAAUCGGAAUUACUGGGCGUAAAGCGUGCGCAGGCGGUGUUGUAAGACUGAUGUGAAAUCCCCGGGCUCAACCUGGGAGCUGCAUUGGUGACUGCAACGCUGGAGUGCGGCAGAGGGGGAUGGAAUUCCGCGUGUAGCAGUGAAAUGCGUAGAUAUGCGGAGGAACACCGAUGGCGAAGGCAAUCCCCUGGGCCUGCACUGACGCUCAUGCACGAAAGCGUGGGGAGCAAACAGGAUUAGAUACCCGCGUAGUCCCUGUCUCUUAUAC
rnacentral:rRNA from 1 species